CGGGCUCCCGCAGAGGGCGGUGGAGAGGGCGGGGACGGGGCGGGGCGCGAGGGGGCGGGGCCGAAUGCGGGGGCGAUGCCGCCGCCUCCGCGAGAACCCCGGGCUCCCAAGCAGCCUCGCUGAGCUUCGGGAGCGCGAGCCCGGGAGGGGGGCGCCAGGGAGGUGGUUAAUUCAUUGUUGCUGAACAAAUGAAGCAGUAAGUCCAGCAUCCCAGCUGAAAGUACCCAUCACUCCACAAAGGCCCCAAUAUCCCUGCCCUAAAUGGGAGGAAGAAGAAGGACAAAUCAGUUCUGGCACUCAUCAGCCAUGUAACCUUGGAUGUUGCCAGGGUUAAUGGACAGGACAGCAUACAGCACACUAUUGUGCAAUAAUGAAGACUAUAAGACUGGGGUCAGAAAACCUUGGUUCAGACCUGAGAGGGAAGCAAAACAACUCCUCUAACAAUACAUCAGGCCCACGGGGGGAGCCGGGCAAAGCGCUGGGGUACAAGCUGCAGUCAAUGGAGUGUUCUGAGCGCUGAACUCCAUGAACCUGCUUGGCAGGAGGUUCAGCACGUGCAGCCUCCUGCCCAGGCGGAAGUGGUGCAUCUGGAUCGCUGUCUACUGCUCCUUCAUCAGUUUGGCCAACUUCUGUAGCUUUGAGGACCCUACGUGGAUGACAACCCCCUUGCAGCCUGGAAUGUGUGCCAUUCUGGACCAGGUGGAUGGAAGUAAUUCCAGCUGGAUAGAAAAACAAAAAUGGAGAAAGAGCUGGGGUCCCUGACUUGAAUGCUCAUGCACAGAUUGUCGGUUGAAAAAUAAAAAAAAUGCUGUCUAUGUAAUCCCCUAUUAUUCAGUUUCUAUUAGACCGUUAAAGCUCCACGGUAAGUGAUACUUGAGCAUCAUAAGCAUUAUCAAUAUUCUGUGGUGGUAAAGAGUAUGCAUUCUGGCCCUACACUACUGAGCAGUGUACUUCAGCCACUCAACUGCUGUGUGACUUUGGGGAAGUUAUUCAACAUCCCUCAGCCCUCUCGGGGUUGACAUGAGUACCUAACUCAUAAAGUCAUUUUGAUGAUGAACAGACUUAAAGUGCUCAGAGCAGGGCUGGUGUGCAGCGAGCGUAAGUGUUAAUUAUUCUUACUCCUCACAAAUACUUGAG